CAGCAGUGGGGAAUAUUGCACAAUGGGCGGCAAGCCUGAUGCAGCCAUGCCGCGUGUAUGAAGAAGGCCUUCGGGUUGUAAAGUACUUUCAGCAGUGAGGAAGGUGGGUAUGUUAAUAGCAUAUCAUUUGACGUUAGCUGCAGAAGAAGCACCGGCUAACUCCGUGCCAGCAGCCGCGGUAAUACGGAGGGUGCGAGCGUUAAUCGGAAUUACUGGGCGUAAAGCGCAUGCAGGUGGUUUGUUAAGUCAGAUGUGAAAGCCCCGGGGCUCAACCUCGGAAUUGCAUUUGAAACUGGCAAACUAGAGUACUGUAGAGGGGGUAGAAUUUCAGGUGUAGCGGUGAAAUGCGUAGAGAUCUGAAGGAAUACCGGUGGCGAAGGCGGCCCCCCUGGACAGAUACUGACACUCAGAUGCGAAAGCGUGGGGAGCAAACAGGAUUAGAUACCCUGGUAG
rnacentral:rRNA from 1 species